rnacentral:rRNA from 1 species
UACCGACGGCCCAGUGGUGACCACUCUUAUUGGGUCUAAAGCGUCCGUAGCCGGUUCAGUAAGUCCCUGUUUAAAUCCUCUGGCUUAACCAGAGGACUGGCAGGGAUACUGCUGGACUUGGGACCGGGAGAGGACAAGGGUACUCCAAGGGUAGCGGUGGAAUGUGUUGAUCCUUGGAGGACCACCUAUGGCGAAGGCACUUGUCUGGAACGGGUCCGACGGUGAGGGACGAAAGCCAGGGGCGCGAACCGGAUUAGAUACCCGGGUAGUCCUGGCCGUAAACUCUGCGAACUAGGUGA